rnacentral:sRNA from 1 species
UGUAGCUGUCGAGAUGGUUUUAGGGCUCUUCGAGAGGAUAAUGCCUACUGUGAAGACAUUGAUGAGUGUGCUGAAGGGCGCCAUUACUGUCGUGAAAAUACGAUGUGUGUCAACACCCCGGGUUCUUUUAUGUGCAUCUGCAAAACUGGAUACAUCAGAAUUGACGAUUAUUCAUGUACAGAACAUGAUGAGUGUAUCACAAAUCAGCACAACUGUGAUGAAAAUGCUUUAUGCUUCAACACUGUUGGAGGACACAACUGUGUUUGCAAGCCGGGAUAUACAGGGAAUGGAACAACAUGCAAAGCGUUUUGCAAAGAUGGCUGUAGGAAUGGAGGAGCCUGUAUUGCCGCUAAUGUGUGUGCCUGCCCACAAGGCUUCACUGGACCCAGCUGUGAAACGGACAUUGAUGAAUGCUCUGAUGGUUUUGUUCAAUGUGACAGUCGUGCUAAUUGCAUUAACCUGCCUGGAUGGUACCACUGUGAGUGCAGAGAUGGCUACCAUGACAAUGGGAUGUUUUCACCAAGUGGAGAAUCGUGUGAAGGUCAGUACAAGGAGAAGACCUAGAAUUUAAGAACUUCUCUUGAACUUGAGGAAUAUAUCAUAAGCU